GUUCUCUUCACAAAUUUAAUUGUUUUCUUUUUCAGUAUCACCAGCAGUAUCACCAGCAGUAUCCACAUCUCUGUUUUUUUCAACCCAGUCAACUACUGCAUCUGCAGAGAGUCCUGGUGGCCCUGACGUCGUCAUCACUGUGAUCGUCUGUGUAGCUGUGCUGCUGCUGCUGUUUGUGCUGAUUUUGAUCCUAAUCUACGCAUGAUUUUCACCUUUAAAGAACACAAGAAAUGGAGCAGCAGCACAGCACAAAAAGGAUCAUGUCUAUGAGGAGAUACAGCAGACGCCAAACUCAGGAAAUAAGAUGAACUCGAUUUAUGCCACUGCCAACUUUCCCACAAACCCCUCUGCCUCGCAGCAUUACUCCAGCAUCAACUUCCAAACAGCUCUGACAGAGUUGGUGGUGAGACAGUGAUCCUCAAACCCAGCUCUGCUGCCUACGAAUAUUCUACUGUGAAGCAAAAUCCAGCCUACUGUACAGUCAGCCAGCCGUCCAGCUCUUCAGAGGAUCCUCUCUACACAACAGUCAACAAGCCACAGCAGCACCGAGCAAAGAUCAGCCCUGUCAAUUUAUGACUUUUACUACAUGUAUGGUCAAAAUUUCAGGUCAUUCAUUGCUGAUGUGGUUGUUUACAAUGAAUCCAGCUCAGACUUCAGGAACUUCACCAAGAUAUUCAGAUGUUGGACGCUGUCAACUUAAAUCCUAUCAAUCCAGAGACACACGAUUCACUUCAUCAUCCACAUUGUUUGAGUCACCAAGGUUUGAGUUAUUAUAUUAUAUAUUUCAUAGUUUUAUGUACAAGAAAACAAUCAUUAAAAUGUUGCUUAUUAUUUACAA